CCUACGGGAGGCUGCAGUGAGGAAUAUUGGUCAAUGGGCGAGAGCCUGAACCAGCCAAGUCGCGUGAGGGAGUACUGCCCUAUGGGUUGUAAACCUCUUUUGUCGGGGAGCAAAAGCCGGACGUGUCCGGCUGUGAGAGUACUCGAAGAAAAAGCAUCGGCUAACUCCGUGCCAGCAGCCGCGGUAAUACGGAGGAUGCGAGCGUUAUCCGGAUUUAUUGGGUUUAAAGGGUGCGCAGGCGGAUUUUUAAGUCAGCGGUCAAAUCGUGGGGCUCAACCCCAUCCAGCCGUUGAAACUGGGGAGCUAGAGAGUGCGAGAGGUAUGCGGAAUGCGUGGUGUAGCGGUGAAAUGCAUAGAGAUCACGCAGAACACCGAUUGCGAAGGCAGCAUACCGGUGCACAACUGACGCUCAGGCACGAAAGCGUGGGUAUCGAACAGGAUUAGAUACCCUAGUAGUC
rnacentral:rRNA from 1 species